AGCGAACGCUGGCGGCAGGCCUAACACAUGCAAGUCGAACGAACCUUUCGGGGUUAGUGGCGGACGGGUGAGUAACACGUGGGAACGUGCCUUUAGGUUCGGAAUAACUCAGGGAAACUUGUGCUAAUACGGAAUGUGCCCUUCGGGGGAAAGAUUUAUCGCCUUUAGAGCGGCCCGCGUCUGAUUAGCUAGUUGGUUGAGGUAAUGGCUCACCAAGGCGACGAUCAGUAGCUGGUCUGAGAGGAUGAUCAGCCACAUUGGGAGUGGGACAAGGCCCAAACCCGAGGGGGCGGGGGGGGAGGGGAAUCUGCGGGCAGGGGCGAGAGCCUGACGCGCCCCGCCCGGGAUAAUGGUUGAGGGGUUAGAAUUUUAAAUUUCUUUCCCCGGGGACGGAGUGACGGGAACCGGGAAAAAAGCCCCGGCUAACUUCGUG
rnacentral:rRNA from 1 species